rnacentral:miRNA from 1 species
AAAAUUUUAAAAAAUUUAAUGUGCUGCUACUUAAGUUUCACGUAUACCGAUCACGUAUAACGAUCGGUAUACGUGAAACUUAAGUAGCAGCACAUUAAAUUUUUUAAAAUUUUUUAUUUUUAA